AUUAAACGCUGGCGGCAUGCCUUACACAUGCAAGUCGAACGGCAGCACGGGGGCAACCCUGGUGGCGAGUGGCGAACGGGUGAGUAAAGCAUCGGAACGUGCCCUGGAGUGGGGGAUAACGUAGCGAAAGUUACGCUAAUACCGCAUAUUCUGUGAGCAGGAAAGCAGGGGAUCGCAAGACCUUGCGCUCUGGGAGCGGCCGAUGUCGGAUUAGCUAGUUGGUGGGUAAAGGCCUACCAAGGCGACGAUCCGUAGCGGGUCGUGAGAGGAUGAUCCGCCACACUGGGACGUGAGACACGGCCCACGACUCCUACCGGAGGCGAGCAGUGGG
rnacentral:rRNA from 1 species